rnacentral:rRNA from 1 species
GACGAACGCUGGCGGCGUGCUUAAUACAUGCAAGUCGAACGGAAAGGCCCUGCUUUUGCGGGGUGCUCGAGUGGCGAACGGGUGAGUAACACGUGAGUAACCUGCCCUUGACUUUGGGAUAACUUCAGGAAACUGGGGCUCAUAUCGGAUAGGAGCUCCUGCUGCAUGGUGGGGGUUGGUAAGAUUCGGCGGUUGGGGAUGGACUCGCGGCUUAUCAGCUUGUUGGUGGGGUAGUGGCUUACCAAGGUUUUGACGGCUAGCCGGCCUGAGAGGGUGACCGGCCACAUUGGGACUGAGAUACGGCCCAGACUCCUACGGGAGGCAGCAGUGGGGAAUAUUGCACAAUGGGCGGAAGCCUGAUGCAGCAACGCCGCGUGCGUGAUGACGGCCUUCGGGUGAUAAACCGCUUUCGCCUGUGACGAAGCGUGAGUGACGGUAAUGGGUAAAGAAGCACCGGCUAACUACGUG